UGCGUAGGCGGUCCGUUAAGUCUGAUGUGAAAUUCCCGAGCCUAACUCGGAAAGGUCAUUGGAAACUGGCGGGCUUGAGGACUGGAGAGGAGACUGGAAUAGUCGGUGUAGCGGUGAAAUGCGUAGAGAUCGACUAGAACACCGGUGGCGAAGGCGAGUCUCUGGACAGUUCCUGACGCUCAGGCACGAAAGCCAGGGGAGCAAACG
rnacentral:rRNA from 1 species